rnacentral:rRNA from 1 species
CAGUCGCCACGGUAAUACAGAGGGUGCAAGCGUUAAUCGGAAUUACUGGGCGUAAAGCGUGCGUAGGCGGUUUCAUAAGUCGGGUGUGAAAGCCCCGGGCUCAACCUGGGAAUUGCAUUCGAGACUGUGAAGCUAGGGUGCGGAAGAGGGAAGCGGAAAUUCCGGUGUAGCGGUGAAAUGCGUAGAUAUCGGAAGGAACAUCAGUGGCGAAAGCGGCUUCCUGGUCCGGCGCCGACGCUCAGGCACGAAAGCGUGGGGAGCAAACAGGAUUAGAUACCCCGGUAGUCCCUGUCUCUUAUAC